GCAUUGCGGGGGCGCGUGCGUCGUUCGUGACGUGCGACACGAAGGAGUUCGCUGCGUGCGUGGAGCCCGACGCGGUCUUGCGUGCGAGUACAAGCCGGGGGUGGGGUGGCUGUAAGCGUACGUGAGCGCGCGGGGGUAGCCGCGGGAGCGCUGGGGCCCAGUGCUGCGGAACGAGAGACUUUGGAGCGCAGGUGAAACUGGCAGGGGACUGCCGUUAACCCCUUCCUGCCCGACCCGAAACUGGGGCCCCAGGGCCGAACGAACGGGGCCUUCCCCAGCUCGCUGGGCGGGGCAGUCCCUGCUGGGAAGACCUUCCUCUUGUGAGCCGAAACACCCCCCCCCGUUGCCAUGGAAACAGCUUCCUGGCUCAGCAGGCGCUUGCUUCCUCCCGCACUGCCCUUCCUCCCGCCGACCAUGUGCUUUCCACUCCUGAUCUCCGCACCGCAGGGCUGGGGGUCAGAAAGGCCAGGGCGUGCGUGACUCAGGCCAGCCCUGGGGUCCCCAGACCGCACUCGGCCUCACUCCCCCUGCUCUGCCUGAGUGACUCAUGCCUCGCGGCUUUCCCUGUGUAUGACUCAGGCCCCUGAGGAGGGAACUUUGGGACCCCCCUCCGGGUAUCCAGGACCAGGAAUCAAGUUCUGGAGACUUCGAGUGAGGGGUUACACCUCUCGAGACAGGAGGCCGGGCGGGCGUCCCCUUUCGUUGGCCAUUGCGAAAGCCACUGGAGACGCUUCCCCCAUCCUUGAAUUAAGAGAUCCUCCCCCGACCUAGCUCCGGGAACCCAGUGCCCCCGCCCACCAGCCUACAGGAAGUUUUGGCAGAGCCUAUCGUGGCAAUGAAACGGUUAAAAUCGUUUUUCUUAUUCAUUUCA
rnacentral:lncRNA from 1 species